AUACGGAGGGUGCGAGCGUUAAUCGGAAUUACUGGGCGUAAAGCGUACGUAGGCGGUUUGCUAAGUCAGAUGUGAAAGCCCCGGGCUUAACCUGGGAACUGCAUUUGAUACUGGCAGACUAGAGUAUGAUAGAGGGGGUUAGAAUUCCUGGUGUAGCGGUGAAAUGCGUAGAUAUCAGGAGGAAUACCAGUGGCGAAGGCGGCCCCCUGGAUCAAUACUGACGCUGAGGUACGAAAGCGUGGGGAGCGAACAGGAUUAGAAACCCCAGUAGUCC
rnacentral:rRNA from 1 species